rnacentral:rRNA from 1 species
GAUGAACGCUGGCGGCGUGCCUAAUACAUGCAAGUCGAGCGAACAGACGAGGUGCUUGCUCCUCUCACGUUAGCGACGCACGGGUGCGUACCACGUGGAUAACCUCCCUAUAAGACUGGGAUAACUUCUAGACACCGCACCUAAUACCAGAUGAUAUAUUGCACCGCAUGGUUCACUCGUGACAGACGGGUUUGUUGUCACUUCUAGAUCGAUCCGCGACGCAUCAGCUAGUUGGUAAGGUAACGGCUUACAAAGGCACCGAUGCGUAGCCGACCAGAGAGAGUGAUAGGCGACGCUGGAAGUGAGACACGGGCCAGACUCCUACGGGAAGCAGCAGUAGGGAACCUUGGGAAAUGGGAGAAAGCAUGACGGAGCAAUGCCGCGUGGGUUAUGAAGGCAUUGGGAUCGGAAGACUCUGUGACUAGGGAUGAAGAAAUGUGUAAGCAAGUGAGCAAGUAUUGACGGUACCUAGUGAAAAAGCAACGGCUAACUACGUG